rnacentral:rRNA from 1 species
CGCUGGCGGCGUGCCUAAUACAUGCAAGUCGAACGGUCUUUUCUAUGGAAGCUUGCUUCCACUGAGAAGAUAGUGGCGAACGGGUGAGUAACACGUGGGUAACCUGCCCAUAAGAGGGGGAUAACAUCCGGAAACGGGUGCUAAUACCGCAUAGUUUUCUUGAUCGCAUGAUUGAGAAAGGAAAGACGGCCUUUGUGCUGUCGCUUAUGGAUGGACCCGUGGCGUAUUAGUUAGUUGGUGAGGUAAUGGCUCACCAAGACGAUGAUACGUAGCCGACCUGAGAGGGUGAUCGGCCACAUUGGGACUGAGACACGGCCCAAACUCCUACGGGAGGCAGCAGUAGGGAAUCUUCCGCAAUGGACGAAAGUCUGACGGAGCAACGCCGCGUGAGUGAAGAAGGUUUUUCCGGAUCGUAAAACUCUGUUGUCAGAGAAGAACAAGUUGGAGAGUAACUGCUCCAGCCUUGACGGUAUCUGACCAGAAAGCCACGGCUAACUACGUGCCAGCAGCCGC